GCAGGAAGUCCCAUGGGAGUUUCUCUCUGGGCUUUCUCAGUCUGAAUCACAGAGCCUGCUGUGCUACAGCCUUAAGCGCGCCUUCCCCCUGGGCGGUGGCUCCGGGGCCCCACCCCUCUCCGCCCCCCACUCUCCAGGUCUAGUUCCCACACCGCAGGGGCACACAAACACUCGUGACUCCUGACACCAGGCCCCGCUCCGGGCUCAGCGUCUACCCAGCGGCACAGCGGAGGCCUGGCUACUCACGGUGCCAGAAUUCACAUAUUUCUUUUUCUUCAUUUUCUUUUUGGGGUUUACCACCUGCAGGAAAAAACAGUUACCAGUCUAGGCCCAGCCCUUCCCUAACCUCCGACUGAGCAAAGCAAGAUGGCCUCCCCACCUGCUGUCCUUCCCUCUUCCCCCUCUCCUGUCCUUCCUCCUGGGGUCUCUUCUGCCUGGAGGAUGCUGAGAGCCACUUAGGACCUCCUGAACUGUUCUUCCCGUGUAAGCUUGGAGACAAGGAAACUCAGGCACAGAGACACCAAGUGCUUUGCCAAAGGGCACGGAGCUGGUCUGGGUAGUGACAGAAUUAGGAGCCAGGUUCCUGCCUCAGGCCCCUCGAUAAGAAAUGCCAACACAUUCCUUCACAAAUGUUUGCCAGGUGGGGUGGGAUGGGGUGGCAGUUCCUCUCCUCUAGAAUCUUUACUCCAGUUGGAGAAAGAAGGUAUGUCCUCAGAGAGGGGACGAGGGCCACCAAGACCGGGGAGUCGGAAACAUGAAGGCGCUGUUCGAAGGAAGGACCAUUCCGGGGGGAGCAUCGCGGGGGCUCCCUGUGCUGGAGGCACCGCAGGCAGAUGCGGAGAGACAGGAAGGACCUGGGCGUGGAGAGGUGGAGGGAGGCAUCCCAGUCAGGAGAUAUUGGGGGGAAAGGAGCGCAAGACUGGGGAGCCACAGGGUGGAAGAGAAUAAAGGGGGCGGGCUGGAAGAGAACCUCCAAUGCCACCUGAAAUGCCGGACCACCACCCAGCAGCGAGCAGGGACUCUGACGACCUCUGAGCUGAUGGGGGACGAGGUCACAGCAGGCUCUGGGAUGCCGGGGCCUGGUGGAGAUCUUCCUGCGAAGUGGCCCUGAAGAGACGCCCUGUUUAUCCUGAGGUUUCGUGCACUCCCCACCCAUGUACCAGCCUCACCCGCCCUCAGGUUCCAUGAGGGGGACCAGCGCCCCCUACGGGUCAGGCCAGGAACCUCCCAAGCUCUGGGCUGGAGUUCUAAGCCUGCCUAUUCCUCUCCCUCUCUUCACACCCUGAGUCCCCAGGGCCCCCAGCGCCCAUCUGGAGUCUGCCCUCCUGUACCAGGGGUCAGGGAGUGGCUCCCAGGAGCCAGGAGAUGCUCUGGCUCUGGGGAGACGACAGUGAAUGAGACACCGCCCGCACCCAGAGGCAGCCCCUGCGUGGAUGAAUCCACGAGGCCCAGCCAGCAAGCAGGGCCAGAGAGCAUCGAUGGCCCAGUGGACUCAAAGCGGGUGGGCAGAGGGAAGGGCUGGGGCCAGACCCUAGGGGCCUCGUGGGGUGAUAUGUGCGCCCACAGAUUGCAGGUCGCUGCGGCAGGGCACAGUUGGAGGAGCUGGGACUUUGCCCCUGUAGGGCCUCGGCUGGGGUGGGCGUCUUUCUGAAUCUCCUCCCGUCCCCAGCGCCAGUGAACCAGGCUGCGGUGGGGGGUGGGGGGUGGGACUUACAACCAGGCUUGAAGCGGCAGCGAUGUGGUCAGGUGACCAUGUUGGAGGAGCACUCAGGUUACUGAGUGGAUGGAAGGAGGCAGGAAGGCCGUUAGGGGCCGUUGCAAAACCUACUGAGGGGAGAUGACAGUGGGGUGGACGGGAAGGACGGGAACAAAUAUCGGCAUAUUCCGCUGGUUGGAAGUAGGGUGCAGCCAUGGAUGGCGAGGGGCCACAGUCGUCAAGGGGGCUCCAGGUGCUGUGGCCCCCGUGGUGGCGGCACAGGCUGGCCAGGGGCGGGAGGGCCGCGGGGAGGCUGUGGCCGCUGCGUUGGGUUUGGGAAGGCCGAGUCCGCGGAGCGGCCCGCAGACAGCUGGACGUACAAGUUGGACCGGGUCACGCUGGGGCCCCAGACGACGGUCCCCCCCGAAGAGGCCUGUGCUGUCUUCAGGCCUCCCAGUGACACCCCGCAGUGCAAGGACCCUCCGCGGCCGCCUGAGGCCAUUCCUUUCUGCCUGACGGCCUUUCAACGGGAACAGCGCCCAGUUCAUCUGGUCGAUGACAAGGGAGCAGGGAUCCUCGACCAAGAAAACAAGUCACCCAACCUUUCUGCUAACUGGGAGACCAUGCCCCUUCUGUCUGUCAAGCUCCCUUAGAAGCCAGACUCCCACUGAUCUGUUCCCUUCCCUCCCCUCCCCUUCUCUUCCAUUCCCUUCCCAUCCCUAAAAAUCUCCCUAAAGGAAGCCAGAGAGAGACAGAGCCUGCUUCUCUGUCUGGGUGGGAGAUGGGCAGAGAACGAAGCCUUCCCUGUGAAGAAUUCAAAGGAAUCCCCCCUCCCCCCCCGCCCACUCCAUCUUCAUAAUGGCCUUGUUCAACUGAAGCCAGUGUGUGGACGUCUAAGAAGCACCUACUGUGUGCCCAGCAGUGGCCAGACGACCGUGGAGAGAGGCAGCCAAGAGGGCUAUCACCUGCCCUUGGGGGGCUUCGGGGCAGUUGGAACACAAGACCUGCCCGCUCAGAACAGAGAUGCAGGGGGAGGGGGAGGAUGGAGGACUCAGAUUCGGUGACGGGAGUCGAAGCCAGCUCUGCAGCCUCCCCAGCCGAGCGCUGCUAACGUGAGGUGAGAGCCCGCUCGUGGGGUGGUUGUGAGAUGCCCAUCUCCUGGCGCCCAGGACGCUGGGAGACAGCGCUGACGUCAUGCCCACUCGGCCGGCCUUGUUCUGGUAGCUCAUUUAAUUCUCCGAGGCCUUGCAGAGUGCUUCAGGAGCCUGGCCAAGCUCACAGGCCCAUGUGAGGCAGAGCCAGGCUACGAGCUCCAGCAGCAGCUCGGACGGGAAGCCAGCACUGGAGCAGGAGGAUGAGACAAGAACACCCAUCUCACAGGAGAACCUGCGAAACCCAGCCCUGCACAUGCUCCCUGAGGCCUCAGUGGCUGGGAGCUACGUAACAUCGGGCACACCCCAGGCUUCGGGCGCCCGCCUCACCUCGUAGAUGUUGAACUGGCUCUGCCCGCGGGCCAGCUCCCGGUAGCUGGUGGUGAACUCCCCGAUGAAGUCGUGGCUGCAAAGGAAGGCUCUGCUGAGACCUGUGCCCACCCCACCUCUCGCGUGCCCCCUGGCUCUCCAUCCCGCCCAGGCCUCUUCUCCAGGGCACAUGCCAGCUGGGAGGCUGGGUCCCUGGGGAGGAGUCCAGUGUCACCCACGGAGCAAACAUCCAACGGUCAAGGAGCAGAGGGCAGGGCCCCAGGGGACGGGACCCAUUUCUACUUGGAUUCCUGUUUGAACAAACCAGCAACAAACGGUAUUUGGGUGACAACUAGGGAAAUGUGAAUAGGAAAUGAAUAUUAGAAGGUAUUCAAGACUUACUGUUCAAAGUGUCAGGUGUGAUAAUGGCAUUCAUAGUUACGUAGGAAAUGCCCUCAUUUUUUUAGACAUUCCCAAUGAGAUAUUUAGAGAUAAAAAUGCCGUGAUGUCUAGAAUUUAAAUUACAUCAACAAAACACAAAUAAAGCAAACAUGGCAACGUGUCACACUUGUUAGGUUCAGGUGAUAGGCUUAACAGUGUUCAUUAAGCUCUUCUCUAGUUUUCUGGAGAUUUGUCACUUCUCCAAUAACACUUGUUGAAAGGACACUUAGCCCUCUGUCCAUGGAGGC